rnacentral:rRNA from 1 species
AAAUUGAAGAGUUUGAUCAUGGCUCAGAUUGAACGCUGGCGGCAGGCCUAACACAUGCAAGUCGAGCGGUAGCACAGAGAGCUUGCUCUCGGGUGACGAGCGGCGGACGGGUGAGUAAUGUCUGGGAAACUGCCUGAUGGAGGGGGAUAACUACUGGAAACGGUAGCUAAUACCGCAUAAUGUCGCAAGACCAAAGUGGGGGACCUUCGGGCCUCAUGCCAUCAGAUGUGCCCAGAUGGGAUUAGCUAGUAGGUGGGGUAACGGCUCACCUAGGCGACGAUCCCUAGCUGGUCUGAGAGGAUGACCAGCCACACUGGAACUGAGACACGGUCCAGACUCCUACGGGAGGCAGCAGUGGGGAAUAUUGCACAAUGGGCGCAAGCCUGAUGCAGCCAUGCCGCGUGUGUGAAGAAGGCCUUCGGGUUGUAAAGCACUUUCAGCGGGGAGGAAGGCGGUGAGGUUAAUAACCUCAUCGAUUGACGUUACCCGCAGAAGAAGCACCGGCUAACUCCGUGCCAGCAGCCGCGGUAAUACGGAGGGUGCAAGCGUUAAUCGGAAUUACUGGGCGUAAAGCGCACGCAGGCGGUCUGUCAAGUCGGAUGUGAAAUCCCCGGGCUCAACCUGGGAACUGCAUUCGAAACUGGCAGGCUAGAGUCUUGUAGAGGGGGUAGAAUUCCAGGUGUAGCGGUGAAAUGCGUAGAGAUCUGGAGGAAUACCGGUGGCGAAGGCGGCCCCUGGACAAAGACUGACGCUCAGGUGCGAAAGCGUGGGGAGCAAACAGGAUUAGAUACCCUGGUAGUCCACGCCGUAAACGAUGUCGAUUUGGAGGUUGUGCCCUUGAGGCGUGGCUUCCGGAGCUAACGCGUUAAAUCGACCGCCUGGGGAGUACGGCCGCAAGGUUAAAACUCAAAUGAAUUGACGGGGGCCCGCACAAGCGGUGGAGCAUGUGGUUUAAUUCGAUGCAACGCGAAGAACCUUACCUGGUCUUGACAUCCACAGAACUUUCCAGAGAUGGAUUGGUGCCUUCGGGAACUGUGAGACAGGUGCUGCAUGGCUGUCGUCAGCUCGUGUUGUGAAAUGUUGGGUUAAGUCCCGCAACGAGCGCAACCCUUAUCCUUUGUUGCCAGCGGUUAGGCCGGGAACUCAAAGGAGACUGCCAGUGAUAAACUGGAGGAAGGUGGGGAUGACGUCAAGUCAUCAUGGCCCUUACGACCAGGGCUACACACGUGCUACAAUGGCAUAUACAAAGAGAAGCGACCUCGCGAGAGCAAGCGGACCUCAUAAAGUAUGUCGUAGUCCGGAUUGGAGUCUGCAACUCGACUCCAUGAAGUCGGAAUCGCUAGUAAUCGUAGAUCAGAAUGCUACGGUGAAUACGUUCCCGGGCCUUGUACACACCGCCCGUCACACCAUGGGAGUGGGUUGCAAAAGAAGUAGGUAGCUUAACCUUCGGGAGGGCGCUUACCACUUUGUGAUUCAUGACUGGGGUGAAGUCGUAACAAGGUAACCGUAGGGGAACCUGCGGUUGGAUCACCUCCUUACCUUAAAGAA